rnacentral:rRNA from 1 species
UACAGAGGGUGCAAGCGUUAAUCGGAAGUACUGGGCGUAAAGCGUGCGUAGACGGUUAUGUAAGUCAGAUGUGAAAGCCCCGGGCUCAACCUGGGAAUUGCAUUUGAGACUGCAUAGCUAGGGUGCGGAAGAGGGAAGCGGAAUUUCCGGUGUAGCGGUGAAAUGCGUAGAUAUACGGAAGGAACACCAGUGGCGAAAGCGGCUUCCUGGUCCAGCACCGACGUCAGGCACGAAAGCGUGGGGAGCAAACAGG